GACGAACGCUGGCGGCGUGCCUAACACAUGCAAGUCGAGCGGGGUUGAAGCGAGAGGUAACUCGAACUUCUACCUAGCGGCGGACGGGUGAGUAACGCGUGGGCAACCUGCCUCAAGGUCUGGGAUAACAGCCCGAAAGGGCUGCUAAUACCGGGUAUGCUUGUGGCCUCGCAUGGGGCUAUGAGCAAAGGGGAAACCCGCCUUGAGAUGGGCCCGCGUCCCAUCAGCUAGUUGGUGAGGUAACAGCUCACCAAGGCGACGACGGGUAGCCGGCCUGAGAGGGUGACCGGCCACACUGGGACUGAGACACGGCCCAGACUCCUACGGGGGCAGCAGUGGGGGAUCUUGCACAAUGGGCGAAAGCCUGAUGCAGCGACGCCGCGUGAGCGAAGAAGGCCUCGGGUUGUAAAGCUCUGUCUGGAGGGACGAAGGAAGUGACGGUACUCCCGGAGGAAGCCACGGCUAACUAACGUG
rnacentral:rRNA from 1 species